rnacentral:rRNA from 1 species
GGGUGCGUAACGCGUAUGCAACCUACCCAUUACAGGGGGAUAACACUGAGAAAUCGGUACUAAUACCCCAUAACAUCCAGGGAGGCAUCUUCUUGGGUUGAAAACUCCGGUGGUAAUGGAUGGGCAUGCGUUGUAUUAGUUAGUUGGUGGGGUAACGGCUCACCAAGACGACGAUACAUAGGGGGACUGAGAGGUUAACCCCCCACAUUGGUACUGAGACACGGACCAAACUCCUACGGGAGGCAGCAGUGAGGAAUAUUGGUCAAUGGACGCAAGUCUGAACCAGCCAUGCCGCGUGCAGGAAGACGGCUCUAUGAGUUGUAAACUGCUUUUGUACGAGGGUAAACGCAGAUACGUGUAUCUGUCUGAAAGUAUCGUACGAAUAAGGAUCGGCUAACUCCGUGCCAGCAGCCGCGGUAAUACGUAGGUGGCAAGCGUUGUCCGGAUUUAUUGGGCGUAAAGCGAGUGCAGGCGGUUCAAUAAGUCUGAUGUGAAAGCCUUCGGCUCAACCGGAGAAUUGCAUCAGAAACUGUUGAACUUGAGUGCAGAAGAGGAGAGUGGAACUCCAUGUGUAGCGGUGGAAUGCGUAGAUAUAUGGAAGAACACCAGUGGCGAAGGCGGCUCUCUGGUCUGCAACUGACGCUGAGGCUCGAAAGCAUGGGUAGCGAACA